AGUGAACGCUGGCGGCAGGCCUAACACAUGCAAGUCGAGCGGCAGCACGGCAAUAGCAAUAUUGUGGGUGGCGAGCGGCGGACGGGUGAGGAAUGCAUCGGGAUCUACCCUGUCGUGGGGGACAACGUAGGGAAACUUACGCUAAUACCGCAUGAUCUGGAGACAGCAAAGCCGGGGACCUUCGGGCCUGGCGCGAUGGGAUGAGCCGAUGUCCGAUUAGCUAGUUGGCGGGGUAAAGGCCCACCAAGGCGACGAUCGGUAGCUGGUCUGAGAGGACGACCAGCCACACUGGAACUGAGACACGGUCCAGACUCCUACGGGAGGCAGCAGUGGGGAAUAUUGGACAAUGGGCGCAAGCCUGAUCCAGCAAUGCCGCGUGCAGGAAGAAGGCC
rnacentral:rRNA from 1 species